CCCUCCGAGUGCAGGACGCUCCGACGCCCGCCUGCCCGCAGGCCACCGCAGAAACCCCAUCGGUGCAGAACAGUGCCACCGCACCCAGAAGACAGCCCCGAUGCUCCUGGCAGACCCUGAUCGAUAUUUCCAGCAAAGGAGUCAACACUGAAGAUAUACCAUUUUGUCUGGCUCUUUCCUUGACACAACAAUUUAUUUAAUAAAUGCAUCUCCUGCA